GUAAAAGAAUACAAAACCGCAAAGGAGGAACGUGAAGUACAACGGCGGUACACCGUUAAAUGCAAAAAAAGCCAAGCCUUAGUUGCCUUUCUUGCUUUUUUUUAACUAACCCAAACCCUCCUUCUCAGAUAAAAACCCCCAACUCCGCUUGCUUUCUCAUCUCUCUCAAAACCCUCUAUAGAAGUCUCUCUGUUUCUGGUAUUCAAAUUUCAAAAUUCAACUAUGUCUUGCUUCAAGGGCAAAUACACCGGUAGCUUCUUCUUCUUCUUCUCCUCUCCGCUUUUAGCUUGUUUGGAAGAAUCUGGAGUUUUUUUUGGCUAUUUUCUUGUCAGAUCUUGUCUUCACUUACUGUUGUUUUGUUCAUUAUUUUAAGUUGAUUAAAUCUUAGAUUUCUUUUAUUUGAUUCUUUUCAUUUUCAGAUUAUUUGUUAGAUCUAUUGUUGAAUUAGCGAUGCUGAACUUUUUUCUGUGUUUUCAUUGGAAUCUGAUUUACUUGAGUUUGUAAGUUUAGAACAAGAAUGUUAUGGCAUGGAUCAGAUCUGUUUGUUCUCUGUAAUUUCUUUAAUGAGUGCUAUUUGAUCUGGACUAUUGAAUCCUUUUUAAUAUAGUUCACUGUACGAAGAUCAGUAGUUUGUAGAGCGAAACGAUCUCAGACUCCCAGCCACAGUUUUGAUUGAUCAUCUCACUGUGGUGUGCAAAUUUCUGAUCAAUUUUGUGUAGGAAAGGUUUGGGAUUUGAUGGAUUUUAUUCUUUGGGUUGAGUGUGUUUAGCUAUUGCUGAAUCACUAAGUUAUAUGAACAAAGGAAAUUAUAUUAUAUCAUUACCGAUUUAAUUGGAUUUGUUUAUUACUAAAUCUUGAUAAUUUUUGUGUAUAUUUAUAUGGAAUGGAAUGAAAUGACUGUCAUUCUAAUUGUGCAUGCAUGGGAGUGUUUAUCUUCUGAUAAAUGAUUUUAAACGAGCGUUACUGUUGGUCUGUUAUUAGUCUGCAACGCUUAGUUUGGUGCUUUGAUUGGUUUUUGGAUUAUAUCUGUGAGUUUGAGGGUCUUCUAAUUGGAUGAAUUUGCUGAAAUUUCUAGAUCUUGAUGGUUAUCUAAUUGUUUAUCAAAUUCCAUUUCUCCCAUAUGCAUCUAACAUAACAUCUAAUAAGAUUUUUCUCACUCAUUGCAGAUGAGCUCAUUGCCAAUGCUGCUUACAUUGGCACCCCUGGAAAGGGAAUCCUUGCAGCAGAUGAAUCAACUGGCACAAUAGGCAAGCGUCUAGCUA
rnacentral:misc_RNA from 1 species